UACGUAGGGCGCAAGCGUUGUCCGGAAUUAUUGGGCGUAAAGAGCUCGUAGGCGGUUUGUCGCGUCUGUCGUGAAAGCUUGGGGCUUAACCCCAAGUCUGCGGUGGAUACGGGCAGACUAGAGGCAGGUAGGGGAGAACGGAAUUCCCGGUGUAGCGGUGAAAUGCGCAGAUAUCGGGAGGAACACCGGUGGCGAAGGCGGUUCUCUGGGCAUUACCUGACGCUGAGGAGCGAAAGCGUGGGGAGCAAACAGG
rnacentral:rRNA from 1 species